CACAUAUGCGUUACUAACUGCAACAGAAAAAUGGGUCUUUGUCCGUAUAAUAAAAAUUGGAGAAAAUAUAUACAUGGUUAAAACCAGUUAUAGGUGAUCCUAAAAAAUGAGAGUGCAGGGUAUGCCACCGAAGUUUCACAGACAACAGCUCUGCUGAAGCAUUUCAGUGCCCCAAACAUGACAGCUCUGAAAUCUUUGGCUUUAAGCGUUCCUGUCACCAACGCGUUCGUGGAGAGGGUGUUUUCACUGCUACGUGGACAGAGACAAGGAACUGAGCAUCUGUGGACAUCAUAAAAAGUGAACUCCUUGUGAAAGUGAACACCUACAGCUGCCAGGACUUCUACAGUCAUAAUGAACGAGAAGGCCCUACUCGAAGCAGCCAGAUCAGACAAAUUGUUUUAAUUCAAGAUGCACUAAAUCCGAUUCAAGCGUCAUGGUGAAAACAGCGUGUGAACGAGAUGAUUCACGGUUCAUUGAGGUGGAUGCCACUCGCCUGUUCCGCCACCCCAUAGACAACACCUGCACAAAUACAUCGCAGAGGUUGUUCUCAAAGACUCUAAACCUGUUGAGCUAUUGGCCUGUCAAUGCUCAUGUGUGGCAGGGCUUGCACUAUACAAUCAUGUUGCAGCUUUGCUCUACCAGACUUCAAAUUACAGCCAGGAAGGAGCAACGGCUGUCCCCCCUACUCACAGCGGCACAGGGUCUGAGCAGCAGUGGCACAAACCUAGCACCCAGAUCGGACGACCAGAUGGCAUUCCUGUGCGCUGACUGAGUCUUUGACCAUUGAUUAUCGAAAAUUUCUACAACACAAUGUAAAAUUGUACUUUGUAUUAUUAGAGUAGUCUUUAUUGGACUUAAGAUGUACCUCUAAUUGAACUGAAUGUCCAUACACUGUCAUGAACGCCGCCUCCUCAACCGGCCACCGGAGAUCGGUUUCACCCGAGUAUUGACUUUGAAACUACAUUUCCCAUAAACCCACAUAUCUGGCGUGAUUGCACUCCAGCUGACUCACAUUAUUGUCUCUCUACUUAAACUGUGUUUGAGCGUUCAUUCACUGCGAAGUCUUGUUUUGUUCCGGCUGCAUUUCUGAGCGUUUAUUACUGUUAUAUCUGAUUCUCUGUGUUUUGACCCUUGCCUGAUUACUCCUUCUACGUCUGUUUGCCGCCUGCCUUUACUGAGUUAACACCUGCUUCUCUACUAUUUACAUUUACUGCCAGCCCUGAUUCUUUGCCUGUCUGACUACGAUUCUGCCUAUCUGUGAUAUUCCUGUUUGCCUGCCAUUGACAUUCGCCUGUAUUUUACGCUGCCUUGUCUAAUAAAUCGCUGAUGGAUCCCAACCAACCUGAGUCUUCAUUACAUACACACACAACAUCCCUGUAGCAUAGAGCUACACAACAAUGAAGUAGAAUUUGACAUGAAAAGCAUUAAUUUAUGAUAAUAAUAAACAGUACAUAAACGCUUGUCUAACUGUUCAGUUGUGUAUAUUUUCAGGAGUAACUUGUACAACGGGGCCUGUGACCGGACCUAUGACCUUCCAGACAUGUCAGUUCUGCGUGUGAAUGAGAAUUACCAAGGAAUGCCAAGGAAAACUGCUCCACCCACAACAACAAUGGGAAUAGCAUUUAUUGAAUUGUUUAUUCAAAGAAUAUUCAGAGAUGGGAGAGUCAUAAAAACAAUCAAACAAAAGGUUACCUAUGCUUUUGGCUUGUCGAUUUCCCUGGUUAACUUUCAAUCAGUUUUUUUACAAGUUCAAAUAGUUUGGUUUUCAUUACAUUUCUGAGCAGUUUUCACGUGCUCACUAUUGUCAUCUGCCACAAAUAUAUUCUAAUAGAAUAGAAUUCUAGUAUACCAUGUAUACAAAUUAUUUUAAGUAGUUGAACAUGUUAUUCAUUUAUUAAAUUACAUAUUUUCCUAUAAAUGUUAUUUAUGUGAGUGUUUGAGGUUAUAUCUCAUUAGUACCUAAAAAUAGUAUUGUUUAAAUGCUGUUUGUAAUGGCCACAUUAAAAUACACAUAGCUUUGGGGAGCCAUUUAAAAAAGGCAGUUACAAACAAUUGUAGGUUUAUUCACUGGAAGCAUAAACUGAAAAUGAGGGAAAAAUACAGAUCCCUGUAUGAAGUUGUAGAGAUGUAAAUCCAUUCUGUACCAUUGAACAAAAGCAGUAGCUAACAACAGUAAAAUAGUAUAAAUACUAAACAGAACUGCACACUGUCUUGAUGCAUCUAUUUAGACAAAGCUUUUACAAGUGGGCCACUAUGGUAAUUUAACAGAAGGCAUGCAACUACAUAGAGCUGGUUAAUGUUACCAAACAUAUUUAGGGGGAUAACCGUGUCAAAGUAUUUGUGUUCCUUUAAACAGUGAAUAAGGUGCUCAACAUGCACUCUCAGGUGUGCAAUAGCCUGUGUCUCCCUGACCUUGUGUGCUGUCAUCUGAGGUCUCCCAGAAAGAAAUGCAGGCCAGUACACUUUACAGGGCUCACAGUCAUCCUUAAUAAAGCCUCUGUCCACCAUUAUUGCCAUAUCCUGCCUAAGUAAUGUAAGUAUUCCUGACUCUGCAAAGAUCUGCUUGUCACUUACUGAGCCAGCAAAGAGGGGAGAAACAAAGGUUAUAGCACCAUGGGGUGCCGUUGUUGGUCGUCAGAGCGGAAAGUGUGAAAACUUAUAGCCGAAUUGAAUUUAGCUGAGGAUGAACACUGAGGGACGCAACAGAGCUCAGCUGUCGUCCACUCACAAUGCGUGUUUUUCAUUUCGUUCACUUAUUUUUAUAAUCUAUUUAAACAAGUGAAUAACUGUUAGGCCUAAUUAUUACCAAAAAAAAUAAAAUAUUGAUAUCGCCUUACAUGCUAUUUACACUGUCUAUCAGAAAAUUCAAAUAUGCCGCUACAGCAAGUGACGUUUCACUGGAAGUUUUUGAGCUAACGUUCCAUGCAUGUAGCCCACUGCCAUCUGUUGAUGUCAAAGGCUUUAAGAAGCAGCCAUAAACAUCAUAGUGCUCAUUCAAAGAGGGAGCAGUUCUUCAUGAGGUAAUGAUAGAAAAACAGCAUCUAGAGUUAUUCACACCAAGUAAUGACAAACCUAGACAUGACUUUUAUUAUAAUCAGAAUCAGAAUCAGCUUUAUUGCCAAUAUGCUUACACAUACAAGGAAUUUGUCUUGGUGACAGAAGCUUCCAGUCUACAACAAUACAACAAUACCAAAAACAGCAGCAAGACAUAGGUAAUUAAAAACAAAAAAAGAACACAAUAUAAAUAAUUAUACAUAUACGUACAUACAGUCACCUUCAUACAUACCCACAUACACACACGUAGUGCAAAUCUAAUACGAUCUGUAUAUAAAGAACAAAAAACAGUAUAUUAUGUACAGAGCAAUGUAAGUAAUGGCAGAAGUGGAUAUGUUGGAUAAUAUAAAUUAAAAUUAAAAUUAAACUGUGUAUUGCACAUCAUUAUUGCUCAAUGGGGCAAUUUAAUUGUUCAUUAGAUGGAUGGCCUGAGGGAAAAAACUG